rnacentral:sRNA from 1 species
CACACCCUGCGCGGGAAGGUGUAGCACGCUGGCUGUAAUUUCGAGAAGGCCGUGCAGCAUCGAGGACAGGAGGAACUGGAGCCUCAUUGGCCGGCCCGGGGCGCCGGCCUCGGGCUUAAAUAGGAGCUCCGGGCUCUGGCUGGGACCCGACCGCUGCCGGCCGCGCUCCCGCUGCUCCUGCCGGGUGAUGGAAAACCCCAGCCCGGCCGCCGCCCUGGGCAAGGCCCUCUGCGCUCUCCUCCUGGCCACUCUCGGCGCCGCCGGCCAGCCUCUUGGGGGAGAGUCCGUCUGUUCCGCCAGAGCCCCGGCCAAAUACAGCAUCACCUUCACGGGCAAGUGGAGCCAGACGGCCUUCCCCAAGCAGUACCCCCUGUUCCGCCCCCCUGCGCAGUGGUCUUCGCUGCUGGGUAAGUACAGCCCCCUCCUCGCCUCCUGCUCCACCAGGAGGGCUGCGGCGCCGGAGCCCCCCGCCCAGCUGCACGGCGGCACUUCCCAGUCUGGGGCG